UCGAUGGGCGAACUCACGAGUACGCCGCGUGAGGGAUGAAGGCCUCUGGGCUGUAACCUCUUUUAUCAAGGAAGAAGAUCUGACGGUACUUGAUGAAUAAGCCACGGCUAAUUCCGUGCCAGCAGCCGCGGUAAUACGGGAGUGGCAAGCGUUAUCCGGAAUUAUUGGGCGUAAAGCGUCCGCAGGCGGUCUUUUAAGUCUGUCGUCAAAGCGUGGAGCUUAACUCCAUUUCUGCGAUGGAAACUGGAAGACUAGAGUGUGGUAGGGGCAGAGGGAAUUCCCGGUGUAGCGGUGAAAUGCGUAGAUAUCGGGAAAAACACCAGUGGCGAAGGCGCUCUGCUGGGCCAUAACUGACGCUCAUGGACGAAAGCCAGGGGAGCGAAAGGGAUUAGAUACCCCUGUAGUCCUGGCCGUAAACGAUGAACACUAGGUGUCGGGGGAAUCGACCCCCUCGGUGUCGUAGCCAACGCGUUAAGUGUUCCGCCUGGGGAGUACGCACGCAAGUGUGAAACUCAAAGGAAUUGACGGGGGCCCGCACAAGCGGUGGAGUAUGUGGUUUAAUUCGAUGCAACGCGAAGAACCUUACCAGGGUUUGACAUCCUUGCGAAUCCCUUGGAAACGAGGGAGUUGCUUCGGGAGCGCAGUGACAGGUGGUGC
rnacentral:rRNA from 1 species